AAGGAUCAUUACCGAGUUUACAACUCCCAAACCCCUGUGAACAUACCUAACGUUGCCUCGGCGGGAAAGCCCCGGGCGCUGGCGCAAGCCUCGCACCGGUACCAGGCGCCCGCCGGAGGACCCAAACCAAACUCUUGUAUUCUAAAGAAUCUUCUGAGUAACCAUAAGCAAUAAAUUAAAACUUUCAACAACGGAUCUCUUGGUUCUG
rnacentral:misc_RNA from 1 species